GUGGGGAAUAUUGCACAAUGGGCGAAAGCCUGAUGCAGCAACGCCGCGUGAGGGACGACGGCCUUCGGGUUGUAAACCUCUUUUAGUAGGGAAGAAGCGAAAGUGACGGUACCUGCAGAAAAAGCACCGGCUAACUACGUGCCAGCAGCCGCGGUAAUACGUAGGGUGCAAGCGUUAUCCGGAAUUAUUGGGCGUAAAGAGCUCGUAGGCGGUCUGUCGCGUCUGCUGUGAAAACUGGAGGCUCAACCUCCAGCCUGCAGUGGGUACGGGCAGACUAGAGUGCGGUAGGGGAGAUUGGAAUUCCUGGUGUAGCGGUGGAAUGCACAGAUAUCAGGAGGAACACCGAUGGCGAAGGCAGAUCUCUGGGCCGUAACUGACGCUGAGGAGCGAAAGCGUGGGGAGCGAACAGGAUUAGAAACCCGAGUAGUCC
rnacentral:rRNA from 1 species